rnacentral:rRNA from 1 species
CAGCAGUGAGGAAUAUUGGUCAAUGGCCGGGAGGCUGAAACAGCCAAGUCGCGUGAGGGAAGACGGCCCUACGGGUUGUAAACCUCUUUUGUCAGGGAGCAAGAGGCGGGUCGAGACCUGCUGUGAGAGUACCUGAAGAAAAAGCAUCGGCUAACUCCGUGCCAGCAGCCGCGGUAAUACGGAGGAUGCGAGCGUUAUCCGGAUUUAUUGGGUUUAAAGGGUGCGCAGGCGGAGGCACAAGUCAGCGGUAAAAUCGCGGGGCUCAACCCCGCUCCGCCGUUGAAACUGUGUCCCUUGAGUGCGCGAAGGGUAGGCGGAAUGCGUGGUGUAGCGGUGAAAUGCAUAGAUAUCACGCAGAACUCCGAUCGCGAAGGCAGCCUACCGGCGCGCAACUGACGCUCAUGCACGAAAGCGUGGGUAUCGAACAGGAUUAGAUACCCUGGUAGUCCACGCAGUAAACGAUGAAUGCUAUCUGUCCGGCCGGAAUGACGGCUGG